GAUGAACGCUGGCGGCGUGCCUAAUACAUGCAAGUCGAGCGAACAGACGAGGAGCUUGCUCCUCUGACGUUAGCGGCGGACGGGUGAGUAACACGUGGAUAACCUACCUAUAAGACUGGGAUAACUUCGGGAAACCGGAGCUAAUACCGGAGAAGAUACUGAACCGCAUGGUUCAAUAGUGAAAGACGGUUUUGCUGUCACGUAUAGAUGGAUCCGCGCCGCAUUAGCUAGUUGGUAAGGUAACGGCUUACCAAGGCAACGAGGCGUAGCCGACCUGAGAGAGUGAUCGGCCGCACUGGAACUGAGCCACGGUCCAGGCUCCUGCGGGAGGCAGCAGUAGGGAAUCUUCCGCAAUGGGCGAAAGCCUUACGGAGCGACGCCGCGUGAGUGAUGGAGGUCUUCGGAUCGUAAAACUCUGUUAUUAGGGAAGAACAGAUGUGUAAGUAACUAUACACGUCUUGACGGUACCUAAUCAGAAAGCCCCGGCUAACUACGUG
rnacentral:rRNA from 1 species